rnacentral:rRNA from 1 species
UACGUAGGCAGCGAGCGUUGUUCGGAGUUACUGGGCGUAAAGGGUGUGUAGGCGGUUGUUUAAGUUUGGUGUGAAAUCUCCCGGCUCAACUGGGAGGGUGCGCCGAAUACUGAAUGACUUCGAGUGCGGAAGAGGAAAGUGGAAUUCCUGGUGUAGCGGUGAAAUGCGUAGAUAUCAGGAGGAACACCGGUGGUGUAGACGGCUUUCUGGACCGUAACUGACGCUGAGACACGAAAGCGUGGGUAGCAAACAGG